rnacentral:rRNA from 1 species
CGUACACUCCUACGGGAGGCAGCAGUGGGGAAUAUUGGACAAUGGGCGCAAGCCUGAUCCAGCCAUGCCGCGUGAGUGAUGAAGGCCCUAGGGUUGUAAAGCUCUUUCACCGGUGAAGAUAAUGACGGUAACCGGAGAAGAAGCCCCGGCUAACUUCGUGCCAGCAGCCGCGGUAAUACGAAGGGGGCUAGCGUUGUUCGGAUUUACUGGGCGUAAAGCGCACGUAGGCGGACUAUUAAGUCAGGGGUGAAAUCCCGGGGCUCAACCCCGGAACUGCCUUUGAUACUGGUAGUCUUGAGUUCGAGAGAGGUGAGUGGAAUUCCGAGUGCAGAGGUGAAAUUCGUAGAUAUUCGGAGGAACACCAGUGGCGAAGGCGGCUCACUGGCUCGAUACUGACGCUGAGGUGCGAAAGCGUGGGGAGCAAACAGGAUUAGAUACCCCGGUAGUCCCAUG